rnacentral:rRNA from 1 species
CACGUAGGGGACGAGCGUUGUCCGGAAUUAUUGGGCGUAAAGAGCGUGUAGGCGGCCCGAUUAGUCCGCUGUGAAAGUCCAGGGCUCAACCCUGGAAUGCCGGUGGAUACUGUCGGGCUAGAGUCCGGAAGGGGCGAGUGGAAUUCCUGGUGUAGCGGUGGAAUGCGCAGAUAUCAGGAGGAACACCAAUAGCGAAGGCAGCUCGCUGGGACGGUACUGACGCUAAGGCGCGAAAGCGUGGGGAGCGAACAGG